GAUGAAGAACGUAGCGAAAUGCGAUAAGUAAUGUGAAUUGCAGAAUUCAGUGAAUCAUCGAAUCUUUGAACGCACAUUGCGCCCGCCAGUAUUCUGGCGGGCAUGCCUGUUCGAGCGUCAUUUCAACCCUCAGGCCCCCAGUGCCUGGUGUUGGGGAUCGGCCCAGCCUUCCUGUAAGGCCGCCGGCCCCGAAAUCUAGUGGCGGUCUCGCUGUAGUCCUCCUCUGCGUAGUAGCACAACCUCGCAGUUGGAACGCGGCGGUGGCCAUGCCGUUAAACACCCGACUUCUGAAAGUUGACCUCGGAUCAGGUAGGAAUACCCGCUGAACUUAAGCAUAUCAAUAAGCGGAGGA
rnacentral:misc_RNA from 1 species